ensembl:lncRNA
UGAUGGUACAGUUGUUGUUGAAGCAGCAUUUUUUGCUGUCGAAGGUGCAGUUGUACUUGGUGAGGAUAUGAGAGUGGGUGUCGGGGUCCGCUGUAUAGUUGUGGAAGCUUCAGUUUCUGUUGAUGCUGCUGUUGUUGUUGAAGCAGCAUUUGUUGUGGAUGGUGCAGUUGUACUUGGUGAGGCUCUGUUCGUAGUUGUGGGGGUCACAUCUAUUGUUGUGGAAGCCUCAGUUUCUGUUGAUUGUGCUGUUGUUGUUGAAGCAGCAUUUGUUGUUGUUGAUGCUGCAGUUGUACUUGG